rnacentral:lncRNA from 1 species
CUCUACCAUAUCCUGGCUCCCAAGGUGCUUCCCAACUCAGGAAGCAAACAACAGUGACAAUGUCUCCCACUUAUGUAGAUCAAGAAGUAAGAGCAUUCUCAGUGAGGACAGCCAACACUGUCCACCCCGGGUAAGCACAGCCACUGACCAAGGGAAACCAGAAGGUUCCACCACCUGUCCCCACCAUGGCAUCUGGGACACCAGCCACUGUCCACUGUCUGACUCACAGAGCAGAUCUUCUUUCCCCAGCCCUCAGUUGCUGGAGGUCCUCACCUCUUCCCGGCCACAGGAGACCAGGUCACAGGCCCCACAACAACUCUCCUUGAGUGUGAGGCAAGUAUUGCAACUCACACUUCCUGUUUCCUCUCAGAGGGCUCUGCGGGAACUGGGGACUCAGAGCCACAACUGUGCUGUCAAGUGUGUGUCCUUAGUGCCUCGUGCAACAGACAAGGAGCUUCGCCUCCCCCGCCCUUAGCCUGCUCACCUACAUUCUGCCCACUAUAGAGAGAGGUCAAGGGUGCCACUGAGCUCUCAACUGUAGCUCCCAGCACAGACCCAAACAAGGAAGGGCCACACCCUUCCACCUUGUCUAGCAUCAUCGGAACCUGCUCUGGCCUUCAGUGGAAGGGAUUCCAUUCAAAGCAGUGAGGGGUGCAGGUCCUGGGGUCUCUGCAUCCCCUUCUACCCUGCACUCUUGUCCUUUAAUCUGUCAGAUGAAUUCAGACAAGACACAGGCAUUGGACAGGAGAGUGGCAGGUUUCUUAGAGAAACAAGGGAGGCCCGGGAGUGAGGGUGGGCAUCAGCCAAAGGGCCCACUGCAGAUGGAAGGCCCUCAAGGGGUGGACAAUGGCCAGAGGACCACGGGCUGCAUGGUUAGGUAGGCUGGGUACUAUGUUCUAAAGUCUGCACAGACAGCCUUCCUGAGGCGUGGUUUCCUGCUCAGGAGAUUGACAGACCAUGUGGGUUGACUAAGGAGGGGAAAAGUGUAUACCUUUGUUCUUUAUCAGAAAGUGUUGGGGCCGGCCUGUGGCUCUCAUGUCUGGAUUAGAGCCUGGGAUGCAUCUUGGAACUGAAAGAAAAGAGAGAAUCUAGGCGGGUAGAGAGA